rnacentral:rRNA from 1 species
GAUGAACGCUGGCGGCGUGCCUAAUACAUGCAAGUCGAGCGAAUGGAUUAAGAGCUUGCUCUUAUGAAGUUAGCGGCGGACGGGUGAGUAACACGUGGGUAACCUGCCCAUAAGACUGGGAUAACUCCGGGAAACCGGGGCUAAUACCGGAUAACAUUUUGAACCGCAUGGUUCGAAAUGGAAAGGCGGCUUCGGCUGUCACUCAUGGAUGGACCCGCGUCGCAGUAGCUAGUGGGUGAGGUAACGGCUCACCAAGGCAACGAUGCGUAGCCGACCUGAGAGGGUGAUCGGCCACACUGGGACUGAGACACGGCCCAGACUCCUACGGGAGGCAGCAGUAGGGAAUCUUCCGCAAUGGACGAAAGUCUGACGGAGCAACGCCGCGUGAGUGAUGAAGGCUUUCGGGUCGUAAAACUCUGUUGUUAGGGAAGAACAAGUGCUAGUUGAAUAAGCUGGCACCUUGACGGUACCUAACCAGAAAGCCACGGCUAACUACGUGCCAGCCGCCGCCGUAA